rnacentral:rRNA from 1 species
CAGUCGCCACGGGAAUACGGAGGGUGCAAGCGUUAUCCGGAUUCACUGGGUUUAAAGGGUGCGUAGGCGGAUCUGUAAGUCAGUGGUGAAAUCUCCAGGCUUAACCUGGAAACUGCCGUUGAUACUAUAGGUCUUGAAUUUUGUGGAGGUUAGCGGAAUAUGUCAUGUAGCGGUGAAAUGCAUAGAUAUGACAUAGAACACCAAUUGCGAAGGCAGCUGGCUACACAACUAUUGACGCUGAGGCACGAAAGCGUGGGGAUCAAACAGGAUUAGAUACCCGCGUAGUCCCUGUCUCUUAUAC